CCUCUUCUCCACUGGCCCCAUGGGCUUUCUGAGCUGUUCGGGCACCGAGCGAUGGCCUCAUCUCCCUGGGAAUCAUCUGCUGGCUUUGUGCGUGGAGAAGCAAGAUUUGGGGAUGGGCUUCCACAGCUGGGCUGGUACACAGCUCAGAAAAACUCACGGUGGCUCUGCCAGGCCCCCAGCUGAAGCAUCGGGAUGCAUUUAUGCGCAGUGUCUCCUCCAGUCAGCGUGCCUUCAGCAUCGCCACGACUCGAUACAGGAGCUGGUAGCUGUCAGGGAGAGCAGCCCUGCGAGCUGUACACCUUCAGCAUCCUCCAGAGCAUGUUUGAGGAGCUGACACUAGAUAAAUAAUAGGGGAUUAAGAUGCGGGGGGACUGCUGUCCUCAGGUACUGGAGCGUGGUGCUCAGCAAUCGCCUGGUGUCUCUCCUGGAGGUUCUGUAAUGUCUGCAGUCUCAUCAUCCCAAAGCCAGGGUAUAUUGAUGCUCAGGAUGAGAAAAUCUUUUAUUUUUUUUUCUCCAGGUGGUGCACGGGAGCCCCACGUUGUUCCCCAGUGUCCCAGACCAUUGGGGAAAGGAGGGGAGAGCAGCGUUGGGACCAGAGGGGUCAUCACCGAGGAUGUGGCGCUUCCAGUCCCAGGGUGCGGUGUGCUGCUCGCUGCUGGGAGCUCCACACGUUUUCCACCGGGAUUCAGUGAAGCACCAGUGCCUGAGAACAGAAAAACGAUAAACAUCUAAACGCAGCCACUCUGAGCAGUGUUUUAUCUGUGCCAUUUGAAGUGAUGACACCCUUCAACCAGAUAAACAAAGCAACGAGGAGGGGCAUGUUGUUAGAUGGAGUGUGUAACGAACAGAAUACUCCCUGCCACAUUACAGACAAUGGUAAUGCACAAUCAUUCAUUAUAACUCAAUUACAGUAAUUAAAACUGGUGGGAUGCAGAGGCAGAACAGACGAAGGGAGUAGUGCCAACAGAAUUUACACUCCGUGUCAUCAGCUAGCGAUAACAACAGCUGACGGUGUCCCAGAGCCUCCUCCUGCCAUCUGUUCGGAGAGCCGCCGCCGAGGGAUGGCACGAGGUGCCGCAGCAGCGCACGGGGGUGCAGGGGGGGGGGACGGGGCUCUCGGCCCUGCCCGGCACCGCAUGCGCAACGCACGGCACCCGACGGCUGCAGGCGCAAAGUGUGCUCGCUACGGGCACCCCGCUUCGUCCCCAGAGCUUCAGAUGUGGUUGUGGGGAGAACGGAGGGGGCACCCCAUAACCUGGGGGGCGGAGAGGGUGGCUGCCCUCCUGGGGAGCCCAGCCUGAGGGUGGCUUCUUGGUGCCCAAGGUGGGCACGGUGUGGCACGGCGCAGUUUGGCACAGUUCGUCACCGCACGGCUUCCCUACACCGACAGCAACGCCUGGCGCUGCCCUGUAGGGACCAGAGGCACAGCAUGGGAAAAGCCACGUGGCCAAAAAGCUCCUUGGGGACAGCGUUCCCAUGGGGUGGCACAAGGGUCACCACCAGCGGGCUCUGCACCCUGGAGCCAGGGGGUGCGAUAGGGCGGCGGCGUGAGCAGCCACCCACCCCGCUUAUUUCCUUUAUGAUAUUUUUCAAGGCAAGCUAACGACCUCUGCCCCAGCGCCUGGGCCCGAACGCUGUAAUUUGCUAAUUAGCGGUUACUCAAAGCGUAAUUUCACCUGCUGGCCGCCCCAGAAAACCGGGCUGGGGAGGAGGAGCGGUGCGGGCGCGAUGC
rnacentral:lncRNA from 1 species